GGGGGCGGCGCCCGGCGGCGGAACGGGGGGAGGCGCCGGGAGCGGCAGGCCUGAGGCUACCGGCCCUGACGGGAGUUUUGCCCGGUUGCAGGAGAGGCCGGUGGGAGCAUUCCGGUUCCCUGCCGGAGGAAAGCUGGGCAGCAAAGCUGCGGUGUAGAUUUGGGAAGGUGAAGCCCACCGGAAGGUGUUGCCAGUGAGACUUGUCCUUCAUCUGCUCCUCGCGUAUAUGUGCGACAGCCAAGCGCGGCUGGAGCACGUCUCGAGGAAGGCCACCAAGUUGAUAAGAGGACCGGAGCACCUUCCCUACGAAGACAGGCUGAGGCAGCUGUUCAGCCCGGAUAAGAGGAGGUUGUGUGCAGACCUCAUAGCAACCUUCCUGUAUCUGAUGGGAGUUUACAGGGAAGCUGGAGAGGGAUUCUUUGUCAGGGACUACAGUGAUAGGACAAGAGUAGCUUGAAGCCCCUUCUGUCCCUUACACUGCAUUGGGUAGUUCAGAAGCUGCUCCCAGGAAGUUGCUCCCAAGGAAGACGUCCUGUUUCCCAGAGGGCCUAGCAUCUACUGUAUAUUAAUUACUGGACUUCAACAUAAACCAGAAUGGACCCAGACAAUGAGCCAAGAGCAGAGACUGCAAAAUGAUCUACACCUACAUGCAGGGGAAGUUCCAAGGAGCUGGAGACGGCCCUCAGCAUUUCUGAAGCUGAUUGUUGUAACCAGAAGGAGACAAAGCGAGGUAAAGCCCCCCAGACCAACGAGCCACAGUAGAGUCCCCCACCCCAUAGGCUAUCCUCUUAAUAAAGACCUUA